UACGUAGGGUGCGAGCGUUGUCCGGAAUUAUUGGGCGUAAAGAGCUCGUAGGCGGUGUGUCGCGUCGGCCGUGAAAACCUGCAGCUUAACCGUGGGCUUGCGGUCGAUACGGGCAUCACUGGAGUUCGGCAGGGGAGACUGGAAUUCCUGGUGUAGCGGUGAAAUGCGCAGAUAUCAGGAGGAACACCGGUGGCGAAGGCGGGUCGCUGGGCCGAUACUGACGCUGAGGAGCGAAAGCGUGGGGAGCGAACAGG
rnacentral:rRNA from 1 species